GAGUUUGAUCCUGGCUCAGAUUGAACGCUGGCGGCAGGCCUAACACAUGCAAGUCGAGCGGUAGAGAGAAGCUUGCUUCUCUUGAGAGCGGCGGACGGGUGAGUAAUGCCUAGGAAUCUGCCUGGUAGUGGGGGAUAACGCUCGGAAACGGACGCUAAUACCGCAUACGUCCUACGGGAGAAAGCAGGGGACCUUCGGGCCUUGCGCUAUCAGAUGAGCCUAGGUCGGAUUAGCUAGUUGGUGAGGUAAUGGCUCACCAAGGCGACGAUCCGUAACUGGUCUGAGAGGAUGAUCAGUCACACUGGGACUGAGACACGGUCCAGACUCCUACGGGAGGCAGCAGUGGGGAAUAUUGGACAAUGGGCGAAAGCCUGAUCCAGCCAUGCCGCGUGUGUGAAGAAGGUCUUCGGAUUGUAAAGCACUUUAAGUUGGGAGGAAGGGCAGUAAAUUAAUACUUUGCUGUUUUGACGUUACCGACAGAAUAAGCACCGGCUAACUCUGUGCCAGCA
rnacentral:rRNA from 1 species